rnacentral:rRNA from 1 species
AAUCGUCAUGUCUAGUAUAAGCACUCUUUUACUGUGAAACUGCGAAUGGCUCAUUAAAUCAGUUAUCGUUUAUUUGAUAGUACCCUACUACAUGGAUACCUGUGGUAAUUCUAGAGCUAAUACAUGCGCAAAACCCCGACUUCGGAAGGGGUGUAUUUAUUAGAUAAAAAACCAAUGCCCUUCGGGGCUCCUUGGUGAUUCAUAAUAACUUCACGAAUCGCAUGGCCUUGCGCCGGCGAUGGUUCAUUCAAAUUUCUGCCCUAUCAACUUUCGAUGGUAGGAUAGUGGCCUACCAUGGUGGCAACGGGUAACGGGGAAUUAGGGUUCGAUUCCGGAGAGGGAGCCUGAGAAACGGCUACCACAUCCAAGGAAGGCAGCAGGCGCGCAAAUUACCCAAUCCCGAUACGGGGAGGUAGUGACAAUAAAUACUGAUACAGGGCUCUUUUGGGUCUUGUAAUUGGAAUGAGAACAAUCUAAAUCCCUUAACGAGGAACAAUUGGAGGGCAAGUCUGGUGCCAGCAGCCGCGGUAAUUCCAGCUCCAAUAGCGUAUAUUAAAGUUGUUGCAGUUAAAAAGCUCGUAGUUGAACCUUGGGCCCGUCCUGCCGGUCCGCCUCACCGCGAGUACUGGUCCGGAUGGGCCUUUCUUUCUGGGGAAUCCCAUGGCCUUCACUGGCUGUGGCGGGGAACCAGGACUUUUACUGUGAAAAAAUUAGAGUGUUCAAAGCAGGCCUUUGCUCGGAUACAUUAGCAUGGAAUAAUAGAAUAGGACGUGCGGUUCUAUUUUGUUGGUUUCUAGGACCGCCGUAAUGAUUAAUAGGGAUAGUCGGGGGCGUCAGUAUUCAGCUGUCAGAGGUGAAAUUCUUGGAUUUGCUGAAGACUAACUACUGCGAAAGCAUUCGCCAAGGAUGUUUUCAUUAAUCAGGGAACGAAAGUUAGGGGAUCGAAGACGAUCAGAUACCGUCGUAGUCUUAACCAUAAACUAUGCCGACUAGGGAUCGGGGCGGGGUUUCUAUGAUGACCCGCUCG